CAGCAACAUGGUUUUUACACUUAAAUGGCAAUAUUUUUCGGUUUUCUUGUGCCGAUUGGCUUCAGAUGGAUAAAAUAACAAAUAUAGGGGGAUACUGCUUAGUUUUAGAUGCGUUUGUAGUAAAAUAAGCAAGCAAAAAGGCGGAAAAUUUCGACGAAUGUCAGCUGUCAGCUGAUUUGGCAAAGCUGGUUUAUUAUUACCGUUGGUCUUAACAAGUGAGACAAAGGUUUCAAUCAUGUUGAAAACGUGUAUAAGAAGAAAGUCGAAGUUGUUGUCACAAACAUUGUGUUUACUGCUGUCUAGAGAAUACACUGAUGGAAAAGAUUGCAAAAGAUUGUGUUUACUGCUGUCUAGAGAAUACACUGAUGGAACAUGUACAACUUUACUAAGAGACAAAUGUAUAAAGACCUAUAAACUAUUGUUUGGAAGUAAUGAUAUUCAAGACACAUUUGCAUUGCAAAAUAUUAAAACUAGAAUGAUGCCACUGUGUAUACAUCUAGGGAAAGGUUUAUAAAUUCGUGCUCUCAGUGUUAAUUUUUUUAAUAUUGUUUAUUUUUUUGCUCUC